rnacentral:rRNA from 1 species
CCAGACUCCUACGGGAGGCAGCAGUGGGGAAUAUUGCACAAUGGGGGAAACCCUGAUGCAGCGACGCCGCGUGAGUGAAGAAGUAUUUCGGUAUGUAAAGCUCUAUCAGCAGGGAAGAAAAUGACGGUACCUGACUAAGAAGCCCCGGCUAACUACGUGCCAGCAGCCGCGGUAAUACGUAGGGGGCAAGCGUUAUCCGGAUUUACUGGGUGUAAAGGGAGCGCAGGCGGCGCGGUAAGUCUGAUGUGAAAGCCCGGGGCUCAACCCCGGGACUGCAUUGGAAACUGUCGUGCUGGAGUGUCGGAGGGGCAAGUGGAAUUCCUAGUGUAGCGGUGAAAUGCGUAGAUAUUAGGAGGAACACCAGUGGCGAAGGCGGCUUGCUGGACGACAACUGACGCUGAGGCUCGAAAGCGUGGGGAGCAAACAGGAUUAGAUACCCGUGUACAC